CUCGACAAAAAUCAAAUAACCAUAUCAUAAAUUUGGAUUGUAAUUAAAUAUUUGACAUAUAUUAUAGGUUUCCAAAUAAAUGUAGUCGAAGAACUAGAAAUUGGUGAUAUAAUAUUCCAUUAAAGAUUUUUUGCUGUUGUGCAAUACUAAGUAAAUUUGUUGUCAGACUAUAACAAAUAAGGUUCAAUUAAUUCUCAAUGUCAUAUAAGAAAUUUAUGAAAUUCAAAAGGGAUCUUACAUCAACAGAUAUAAACAAUUCACCAAAGUUUCAUGAGAAUUGCUGACAGCAUGUUUUAGUUUUGGUCCGAGAAUGGAAAAAUCUUCCCUUUUUUAAUGAAUAAAACUCCAUAAUUCAGAAAUGUAAAAUGUAAAAUUAUUCUAAAGGGAGCUAACAUCAAUAGAUUUAAACAAUUCACCAAAGUUUCAUAAAGACUGCUGGAGCGUUUUGGGGUUUUGGUCCAAAAACGAAAAAAUCCUACCUUUUAUAAUGUAUAAAACCCCAUAACUAGAAAACAUCAAAUCUGAAAUUUAUAAAAAUCAAAAGGGAGCUCAUGUCAAUAGAUAUAAGCAAUUCAACACCAUUUCUUGCAAGUUGGUGAAAGCAUUCUUGAGUUAUUGUCCUAAAACUGGAAAAUCCCCCUUAUUUAAAUAAAAAAAACAUAACUCAGAAAUGUAAAAUUUAAAAUUUAAAUAAACCAAAAGGUUCCACGCAAUAAAUAAAACCAUUCACCAAAGUUUUAUGCAAAUAAGUUUAAGCGCCUUUUAGUUAAUGUCCAACAUGUUGACGACAGACAGACAGAUGGCCAAUGGUAUACCAUAAUACAUCCCUUAAACGGGUGUACAAACUAGAGGCUCUAAAGAGCCUGUGUCGCUCACCUUGGUCUAUGUGAAUAUUAAACAAUGGACACAGAUGGAUUCU
rnacentral:lncRNA from 1 species